AGAGUUUGAUCCUGGCUCAGGAUGAACGCUGGCGGCGUGCUUAACACAUGCAAGUCGAACGAAGAUGCCGGAGUGCUUGCACUUUGGCAGACUGAGUGGCGGACGGGUGAGUAACGCGUGGGUAACCUGCCUUAUACAGGGGGAUAACAGUUGGAAACGACUGCUAAUACCGCAUAAGCGCACGGUAUCGCAUGAUACAGUGUGAAAAACUCCGGUGGUAUAAGAUGGACCCGCGUCUGAUUAGCUUGUUGGUGAGGUAACGGCCCACCAAGGCGACGAUCAGUAGCCGGCCGUGAGAGGGUGAACGGCCCACAUUGGGACUGAGACACGGCCCAAACUCCUACGGGAGGCAGCA
rnacentral:rRNA from 1 species